rnacentral:rRNA from 1 species
UACGUAGGGUGCAAGCGUUAAUCGGAAUUACUGGGCGUAAAGCGUGCACAGGCGGUUUUGUAAGACAGAGGUGAAAUCCCCGGGCUCAACCUGGGAACUGCCUUUGUGACUGCAAGGCUUGAGUGCGGCAGAGGGGGAUGGAAUUCCGCGUGUAGCAGUGAAAUGCGUAGAUAUGCGGAGGAACACCGAUGGCGAAGGCAAUCCCCUGGGCCUGCACUGACGCUCAUGCACGAAAGCGUGGGGAGCAAACAGG